rnacentral:rRNA from 1 species
UACGUAGGCCCCGAGCGUUGUCCGGAUUUAUUGGGCGUAAAGCGAGCGCAGGUGGUUUGUUAAGUCUGGUGUAAAAGGCAGUGGCUCAACCAUUGUAUGCAUUGGAAACUGGUAGACUUGAGUGCAGGAGAGGAGAGUGGAAUUCCAUGUGUAGCGGUGAAAUGCGUAGAUAUAUGGAGGAACACCGGUGGCGAAAGCGGCUCUCUGGCCUGUAACUGACACUGAGGCUCGAAAGCGUGGGGAGCAAACAGG